rnacentral:rRNA from 1 species
AAUCGUACCCCAAACCGACACAGGUGGUCAGGUAGAGAAUACCAAGGCGCUUGAGAGAACUCGGGUGAAGGAACUAGGCAAAAUGGUGCCGUAACUUCGGGAGAAGGCACGCUGGCAUGUAGGUGAAGUCCCUUGCGGAUGGAGCUGAAGCCAGUCGAAGAUACCAGCUGGCUGCAACUGUUUAAUAAAAACACAGCACUGUGCAAACACGAAAGUGGACGUAUACGGUGUGACGCCUGCCCGGUGCUGGAAGGUUAAUUGAUGGGGUCAGCCGCAAGGCGAAGCUCUUGAUCGAAGCCCCAGUAAACGGCGGCCGUAACUAUAACGGUCCUAAGGUAGCGAAAUUCCUUGUCGGGUAAGUUCCGACCUGCACGAAUGGCGUAAUGAUGGCCAGGCUGUCUCCACCCGAGACUCAGUGAAAUUGAACUCGCUGUGAAGAUGCAGUGUACCCGCGGCAAGACGGAAAGACCCCGUGAACCUUUACUAUAGCUUGACACUGAACAUUGAGCCUUGAUGUGUAGGAUAGGUGGGAGGCUUUGAAGCGUGGACGCCAGUCUGCGUGGAGCCAUCCUUGAAAUACCACCCUUUAAUGUUUGAUGUUCUAACUCGGCCCCGUGAUCCGGGGUGAGGACAGUGUCUGGUGGGUAGUUUGACUGGGGCGGUCUCCUCCCAAAGAGUAACGGAGGAGCACGAAGGUUAGCUAAUCACGGUCGGACAUCGUGAGGUUAGUGCAAAGGCAUAAGCUAGCUUGACUGCGAGAGUGACGGCUCGAGCAGGUACGAAAGUAGGUCUUAGUGAUCCGGUGGUUCUGAAUGGAAGGGCCAUCGCUCAACGGAUAAAAGGUACUCCGGGGAUAACAGGCUGAUACCGCCCAAGAGUUCAUAUCGACGGCGGUGUUUGGCACCUCGAUGUCGGCUCAUCACAUCCUGGGGCUGAAGUAGGUCCCAAGGGUAUGGCUGUUCGCCAUUUAAAGUGGUACGCGAGCUGGGUUUAGAACGUCGUGAGACAGUUCGGUCCCUAUCUGCCGUGGGCGUUGGAAGAUUGAGAGGGGUUGCUCCUAGUACGAGAGGACCGGAGUGAACGCACCACUGGUGUUCGGGUUGUCAUGCCAAUGGCAUUGCCCGGUAGCUAAGUGCGGAAAAGAUAAGCGCUGAAAGCAUCUAAGCGCGAAACUUGCCUCAAGAUGAGUCUUCCCUGGGCCUUUAAGGCCCCUGAAGGAACGUUUAAGACUAAGACGUUGAUAGGCUGGGUGUGUAAGUGCAGCGAUGCAUUGAGCUAACCAGUACUAAUGAUCCGUGAGGCUUAACCUUACAACACCGAAGGUGUUUUAG